AUUGUUGAAUUUGUCUUUUAAGAAAUAAUUUUAAUCUACCCAAUGCAAACUGUCAUUUAAGGGGAUGUGGUGGCGCACUGGGUUUGGCCAGGGUCUGCUCUGUGGUGGGUCUGCGGUUUGAGUCCUGCUGGGGGUGCCUUGUGGCAGACUGGCGUCCUGUCUGGGGUAUGGUCCCCCCCGCAUCAUUUAACUUCUGCCCUAGAAAAAGAAGAUUAUGGUCAGAAUUUUAAAAAGUUCAGUAGGUAAGCUAACUAGUCUUGCAUAUUUGGCAAAGAAAUGUACUUUGUGGAAUGCAAGUCACCUAGUGGGCAAUCUUUGGUAUGUAGAACUGGUGCUGUGGGAUGAACCAGAUGCUAGGUUAAGACACUCAAUGCCAAUGCUCAUCAGACUACAAAAAAAGGUGUUGGUUGGCAUAGACAGCAGGACGGUGGCCAUGGAACUCAGAAUCUGCUAAAGUGUUUUAACAACCCACCUGCAGAGUCAACCAGCCCUAUAACUGGAUGGCACUGGAGAGUGUCAGGUCCAUCGUGGCAACAGGAGCCGCAAAAGCUAGGACAUGACAAAUAAGACAGCUGCUGCGGUGAGCUAUCCUAGAGUGUAGGCUUCAGUGGAGCCACCACAGGUGCAGAUGUCGGUGGUGGUAAGAAAUAUUCAAACAAAAACUUUGAAGGCUGAAGUCCAUGUCAACAGCAAGUGAACACGAGUCAGUGGUUGUAAGAUGCAAAUGAUGGUCAGAGGGGGCCGGCAAUGGCCUCUAUUUCCCCCUGCUAAUUGAAAGAGAAUCAGGUUGGGACUCCUGAAUCUGGAGUGGUGGAGACAGAUACCAUGAGGCAUCCAACAGAGUAACGUGAACAAUCUCGGAGAAGCUGGAGAGAGCCCCAGGGAGAGUUUAGCCUCCUUUGUAAAGGGUAGGGUGCCUCAGAAGGAGUUUGGCUGGAGAAAAGGGCUCCAGCCCUGGAAAGCAUUACAGUUUCAACAAUGUCUAGUGAUCUCUUAUUGAUGUUAAAUCUGUGGACAUAGUGUAAAUCUUGCACCAAGUUGUACUCAUAUCUGCAGCAGAUCUCCCAGGUGAGCAGUCUCAC
rnacentral:ncRNA from 1 species